UACGGAGGGUGCAAGCGUUGUCCGGAUUUACUGGGUUUAAAGGGUACGUAGGCGGCUUGUUAAGUCAGUGGUGAAAUGCACGAGCUCAACUGGUGACGUGCCAUUGAUACUGGCAAGCUUGAGUAUUGUAUAGGUAGGCGGAAUUGAUGGUGUAGCGGUGAAAUGCAUAGAUACCAUCAAGAACACCGAUUGCGAAGGCA
rnacentral:rRNA from 1 species